GACGAACGCUGGCGGCGUGCCUAAUACAUGCAAGUAGAACGCUGACUACUUUAGCCUGCUAGAGUAGAAGGAGUUGCGAACGGGUGAGUAACGCGUAGGUAACCUGCCUACUAGCGGGGGAUAACUAUUGGAAACGAUAGCUAAUACCGCAUAACAGUGUUUAACACAUGUUAGAUGCUUGAAAGAUGCAAUUGCAUCACUAGUAGAUGGACCUGCGUUGUAUUAGCUAGUUGGUGGGGUAACGGCCCACCAAGGCGACGAUACAUAGCCGACCUGAGAGGGGGAUCGGCCACACUGGGACUGAGACACGGCCCAGACUCCUACGGGAGGCAGCAGUAGGGAAUCUUCGGCAAUGGGGGCAACCCUGACCGAGCAACGCCGCGUGAGUGAAGAAGGUUUUCGGAUCGUAAAGCUCUGUUGUAAGAGAAGAACGUGUGUGAGAGUGGAAAGUUCACACAGUGACGGUAACUUACCAGAAAGGGACGGCUAACUACGUGCCAGCCGCCGCAGUAA
rnacentral:rRNA from 1 species